GGGGGGAGGAUUUAAAAUAUUGUAGUUCCUGUGAUGUACCUACACAGAACCGAGAGGGGAUUAAUGAAAAGAAAAAAUCCACAAAGGAUAAUGAUGACAAAUUAUUUUCCCACACAGCAAUAGCAAUGAUUGCAGAGAAUGCACAGAAUUAAGCAAAAAACAUGCUAUAGAAUCAGGAUAACUAUCCUCUAGAUUGUCAAGGGCAUCUGCUCUUAUCUGAUAGAUAUGGUAACAAAUAGUUGAAACAUCAAAGGACAUGCCUCAGACUUGUCCUUAUCCAAUUCUGACGUAUAAAAUGUGCAUAGGUAGUAAAACUCACAUGCAUGUUAUAAUUUAUUCUCAACUAGUUGCACCAGGUACUAAAUGUGCCUAGAUGGUUGUAGGUUACAACACCUAUACUGCAGAAGUAUGGCAUGUUAUUGUGUAUAUAUAGUAUAAAAGAACAAUCCAAAUCACCUGUAAAACGUUCAGAAUUUGUCAAAAUAGUAAUGAACACUGCCUCCGUUCAAAACUAAAAGACAUAUUUCAUUUCAUUAGGACAAGAUUGUGAAUGAUUAUUGUAAUAAUGUCAUUUAUGAAUACAAAAUCAUAGUCAUAAGUAUUUUUCGAUACGAAUGUAAUAACAUCAAUUUGUGCCAAAAAAGUCAUGUAUUAAUAAAGAUAUUAUUAGUCAAAGAACAAAAUAUGUCAAACUAAGGGAGCAGUUGAUAAGAUCAGUUUGGUGCCCCCUCUCUCCUCUAAUUCUGAAAGUUUUGUAAGUCUUGAAUCUUGUAAUUUCUGAACCUUUUUUAAUAAAUCUCUGCAGGGGCGAAAGCCCCUCUAGUUCACUCAAAAAAAAGAUCAGUUUGGUGCAAUAUCAGGGUUCAUGACUAACAAAUAACAACCCAACUCUUUCAUAUCAAAAUAUAAGGACGAAGCCACAAAUUUCAUGUGUGCUAUACUGCUAUUCCAUUAAUCCUUUUGACCACAUAACAACACUAAGUCGAAGUUGCAGCAGUCAGGAGAUCAAGGCUGGUAAUCGUGUUAGUUUUCACUGUAAUUUUUUUUUUACAGCAAUCAGAACAUGGAGAAUAAAGUGAAGAGCUCCACAUGGGAUCAAGGACAAGCACUCCAAAACUUAAGCUGCCAACUCUAGCUAGUCUUCAAGAUUCUCACUGGGAUUGCACACAUUUGUAGACUAACUAGUCUGUGAGGGGCCUAAAAUUACUACUUAAUUCGCUCCUUUUGAUAAGCUUGCUGGAGGGUGUCUGUUGCAUGAAGACGCAACACAGGGUUCAGAUUACCUCUCUGUCCCUCUCUAAGCAGUUGACCAGUCAAAAAAUGAGGCAGCGUGUAUCAAACUACAUGUACGAACAGUUGGUCCUUGUUUCACCUUUGCCCCCAUUGGACCAAACCAUCUUGCUCACAACUAUCAAUGAACUGGAAAACACGCUAGCUGCUUCACGCAUGGCUGCAGUUUUUCCUUUCUGUGCUUGUCCCCUCUCUCUCACACAGAUCCUAGCAUAUCUCUCUUAGUUAACUAGACACAACAGCUCUUUCCAUGGACACAGAGACAAACAGGACAACCCAUUGACUAGCUACAUAGCAUACUUCAAGCAGUUGUUUCCUGAGGAGGUAAAAUAGAGCUGAAGAAAAGGAAAUUUACUGGCAGGUUCUUGGCAAGUGUAGAAGUGAAUCAGAUUAUACUAGUAAUUCUCCACCGCCCAUACCGGUGUGCGCUACAACUUGCAAUGGUGCACAGAAUUAUUUAGAGUCCCGGCGUAAAUCCAAAGGGCUAAAUAUAGUUUGUAACAACCACACCUAGGCACCCGUUACAAGGAGUCAUGGAGAAUUGAAUCAACGCUGAGUUGAUGAAAUGAGAUAGUGUGGACCAAAGUGUUUUAUAGGAUAGCUAAAAGAAAACAGAGCUAUUAUUUAUUCAAAUUGAUUGCUUGUGUUUGUUGAUAUUGUUAGUCCUAGGUAGCUACCAGCAGUCGACAAAUGAGUAUAAAACACUAAAACAGUGAAACUCAAAAGGUAUUACAUAUUUCACUUUUCACACGAUGUGUUACAUGCUAUUCUUCAGCCUUUUCUGAGACAAAUAUAUGGAAACAAGACCUUUCGUUGUUUAUGAAAAGCUAAGUUUGACCAACUGGCAACAAGCAACAAGACAAAAAUUAUGCUACUGAUAAAAUAUACUUUAUGAUGUCUUUUUCAAUAUAACAGAUUCACACCCUGAAGAUUCUCUCAUGAGGGCAAAAGCUUUUGUAUUCCACACUCCAUAAAUUAAGGCAGAUGCUGAACCCUUUUAGUUAAGGAAAAAAGGAUGAUUGCUAACGUGGGCCUUAGUCAAAUACCGCACUGUAAAAGGUGCUUCCUUUGUUAGUAUGUGGGAGCCUUUUCCUUGGUUUUAGAAAUAGUUGUUUCGUUGCCCCUUUUUGUCAUCUUUCACAUUUGGAAGUUAUGUCGGGCCAGCAUUUCAUUUGAGACUUUGAGUUGCUAUCCAACCAUCAUACAGGCUGUACCAAAAGGCUCAUAGUAGGUGAUUGAAAAAGCUGAAUUGUUGUGUUAGUACGCUUAGUGUCUGUUGCUUCAUUUUUCAUCUAAUAGCUCCAUUGGUAUUCUGUAAGUGUUCACAAGAAAAUAAUAAUAAUGCAAGCUUGAAUGAUGGAAGCCUAUUAGUUUGUCUGUAUAUGGAUGAUGGAUCCGUUGUGUACUUAUAAUGGAGGAUAAGGAAAAUUGUUUAUGAAUUGAUAGCAGAUUGCAUAUAUAUAAUAUAACCAGGAGAACAACCAAGUUCUGCCAAGUAAAAACAGUCAAAACUCCUUAUUGUGCACAAGAGAAUCCAAACAAAAUGCACUUCCAAACCAACUGACAACUAAUAUAACGAGGCCCAUUAGUAUUCUGGUGUUACCUUUCCAUUCUGGGACCACAAAGUGAGCGAAUGAUACACAUUCCUUAAUCAUGGACCAUGGCAUGCCUGAUAAAAAAUAUUAUAGUUGAUUAAGCACCUAAUAAACUAUAAAAUUGGGUUCGCUAGAAGAAUCUCAGACAAAGAGUAUGCUGCUUGAUUUGAUAUUAACGAUGCAGCAUGCCGUACACAUCUUAGAAGAGAAAAUGGUCAUUACGCAGCCUAAAAUUUAGUAGAUCAAAGAUAUACUGUUUAAGCUCCAUGCACAGUUUCCUUGAGAGAAACUAGAUGCAUGACAGGUUGCUUAGUGAAUGUUAAAAACAAUACUAAUGAUCUUGUUGAAUGGCUCCAAUAGAAGAAAACUGUAGGUCAUCCUUUAGUUUUGACAAAAUAAACUUAUCCACACCGAAACGCCAUGGUAAGCUGACCUAUUCUUGCAUAAUGCCGGCUUCACUAUUUGUAUAGAAAUCACCGACUUCACUGACUUAUUAAUUUGACACAAGUAUGAUUAGUAUAGGUAAUUCAAGGCAUGACUGUAUGGGGCUUAGUUCACUUUCUGCAUUGAAUGAAAAUAUCAUUUUGAUUAUAGAUAGUCUAGUCAUUUUGUGGAAAAUCAGGAAAGACAUAUCCUAAAAAACUGAUAUUGAAUAAGGUGAGUAACCGACCAGUAAAAGGUGAACAUUUUUUUUGGGAACACAAGUAAAAGGUGAGCAGUUGAGCCAUGAGCCCAUGAUAUGUGAAAAUUGAAGCCUGAGUAUGUGCACAUUGGUUGACAACAGGCCUGCAUCAGUGAUUCGAUCACAUAACGGUGAAAUGUUCUCUAGGGCAUAUGUUUGAUAAACAUUAGUUGAUACGGUUUAUGUACAUUCAGAAUAACAAUAAACUAGUUAGUAGACAAGGAACCAUAAGAAAGAUGGUGAUGGUCUAAUGAAAAACAAAGCAGCAUGCUUAGAGACAUUUUUUGUUUCUUUUGAAGAAAAGAUAUAUAGAUCAGUUUGAAGCUAAUGACUUUAGUUGAUUCAGAUAUAACAUAUUAUCAGUUGAAGUGUCAAAAAAAAAGUGUUGAUUCAUAGUUUUACACAUAGAACAGCACCUCUCACCUGAAUCGUAGACUUCUGAGAGUAAUUGAUUCAUGAAAUGCAAAUCGUGCCUUAGAUAAUUGUACCAACACCGUAAUGUGCCAAAGUAAGGAGUGUAUAUAUAUACUUUUUUUAGGGAUAGUAAGAAGUAUAAUUACCAAGUGAUGUGAAUAUUACAUCAUGAUGCGAGAAAAUUACAAAGGUAAUUUACACCAUUAUAAUUUGGUCAGGUUUCGCUGCACAUUUCAGGAUGCUCUGCAGCUCAUGUGGUUAAGCAUAAAACAUAAACUACUACAUGGCAGCUCAUGAUAUACAUCUCAAAUAGAAAUGGAGGCUACAAGAAAUUCGCCUAAGAAAAGUUAUAUGGAUCAAACAGAGGAUUUAGCAGUUGCUACAGGGUUCAAGUGAAAUGCACUUGCUACCUGCAUAUUUGAGCAUUCGGCAAGAGUCCUCAACUAAGCUAACUGUAACCACUCACCAAGAUUCGGACAUAGGUAAAAAACUGGCAGAUGAAACAACAAGUGACAACACUUCAUGUGAAACCACUAUUCCACCAAUUAAAGGGCUACCAGUAGUAGUUUGUUAAUUACUUCGGGUAAGUUCUGACAUGUUUUGCUGCUUAAUUUACAUCAUAAUUUUCAGUUAACCAGGUACAAAAAACAAAACCAUAUAAGUUAUUACGUGUAAAAUUUUGGGCAAUAUUGUUCUGCAGAUCCCCUGACCUUAACCAAAUGAUAUUACUAAAAUGACCCCCCUUAAAAAAAUGUCCAGUGGAAAGGACAGAAAUUCCAUGCAUCAGGUCAAGAAUAAUGGACACAUUGAUCUUCCCCCUAUAUGUCAGUAGUUUUGAUCUCGUACGGCUUAUAUAACCAUGGAAUUACCGACCACAUGAUAAAAAAAAUGGGCAUCUCCAUCAGGUGGGCUCACAGCAGAGUCAUCAAACUCAUCACUGUUUUUAGUUUCUCUAAUGCUAUUGGAUAGAGCAUACAACACUCAAUCUCUCACGGAGCUACAGAAAAUCUAUCCCAAUCUUGUUGAGUAGGUGCAACAUGCUUAGCAUGCUACCAUAACUCUGAACGUUUAACAGUACAUCAGCAUUCAUAAUUGUAACAACCCAAGUAAAUCCCCAAAUUACCGGAUCUUCAUUGAUGAGCGUGAUGCCACACUAUGAAAUUGUACAUACAGGGUGUUCUCUACUAUUGAAAGUAGUAGUAAAAGUUUUCUAUAAGGAAAGUACUGGUAAUUUCAUUUUUUCUACAUCCAUAGGAGCUGAACAAGGUGGUGCUGGAGCUGGAAUUACUUCCUGACGCAGCCUGGAGGCUCAUGUGAAUCCAUUCCAACUGACAUGAUAGCCUAUAUCCAAACAGCAGCCUGAGCCGUUUACUGAUGACCAAAAAAAAUGAGCCUCUACACCUGACAAGCGCACGCACAAGCUGCACAUUGCAGCCUAAACCCUAAACCGAAUUUAAACCCGAGAAAUCUGCGGCCUCCCUCGAUCAUUGUUGGGGUACAGCAUUUGUUUGAAAAAAAAAAUACUAUCUAACACCACCUGUUCACCCGCGAUUUCAGCUAUGGUUCAGACAACCCGAUCGGAUCAUCGGAGCAUGCCGUCAGGGGGAGAUGCGGAGGAGGGAUUCCGGCGCACCUGGUCCAAAUGGGGGGCUAUCUGCUUGUUGGGAUCUUGGAGAAGUGGAGACGAGGCGGGGCGCGCACCUGCACCGCGCGGAGGCGGAGGCCUCCAAAUUCCGAAGGCGACGAAGCCAGUUGGGAGGGCGCGUUGCAGAAAUCAGAAGUGGGCGGUUGGAGGCGU
rnacentral:lncRNA from 1 species